GUUCAGUGCCGCGAAAACACAACAAUGGCGACACCAACAGGUGAAGACUUUUCAUUCAAGUGGAGCAAGGAGCAAACCGAGCUCCUGAUUAAACAAAGAGGGGAAAAUGACCAUCUAUUCACGGGGGCCAAAAACUCCGCCACGGCGGGAUGGAGAGCAAUACUGGAAAAG